rnacentral:rRNA from 1 species
GUUGUAUGGUUAAGUGACUAAGCGUACACGGUGGAUGCCUGGGCAGUCAGAGGCGAUGAAGGACGUACUAACUUGCGAUAAGCGCAGAUAAGGCAGUAAGAGCCGUUUGAGUCUGCGAUUUCCGAAUGGGGAAACCCAACUGCAUAAGCAGUUACUGUUAACUGAAUACAUAGGUUAACAGAGCAAACCGGGGGAACUGAAACAUCUAAGUACCCCGAGGAGAAGAAAUCAACCGAGAUUCCGGUAGUAGCGGCGAGCGAACCUGGAUUAGCCCUUAAGCACUCGGUGAAGUAGGUGAACAAGCUGGAAAGCUUGGCGAUACAGGGUGAUAGCCCCGUAACCGACGCUUCAUCGAGCGUGAAAUCGAGUAGGGCGGGACACGUGAUAUCCUGUCUGAAUAUGGGGGACCAUCCUCCAAGGCUAAAUACUCCUGACUGACCGAUAGUGAACCAGUACCGUGAGGGAAAGGCGAAAAGAACCCCUGUGAGGGGAGUGAAAUAGAACCUGAAACCGUGUACGUACAAGCAGUAGGAGCACCUUCGUGGUGUGACUGCGUACCUUUUGUAUAAUGGGUCAGCGACUUAUAUUCAGUGGCAAGGUUAACCGUAUAGGGGAGCCGUAGCGAAAGCGAGUCUUAACUGGGCGCUCAGUCUCUGGAUAUAGACCCGAAACCGGGUGAUCUAGCCAUGGGCAGGUUGAAGGUUGAGUAACAUCAACUGGAGGACCGAACCGACUAAUGUUGAAAAAUUAGCGGAUGACUUGUGGCUAGGGGUGAAAGGCCAAUCAAACUCGGAGAUAGCUGGUUCUCCCCGAAAGCUAUUUAGGUAGCGCCUCGGACGAAUACUACUGGGGGUAGAGCACUGUUAAGGCUAGGGGGUCAUCCCGACUUACCAACCCUUUGCAAACUCCGAAUACCAGUAAGUACUAUCCGGGAGACACACGGCGGGUGCUAACGUCCGUCGUGGAGAGGGAAACAACCCAGACCGCCAGCUAAGGUCCCAAAGUAUUGCUAAGUGGGAAACGAUGUGGGAAGGCUCAGACAGCUAGGAUGUUGGCUUAGAAGCAGCCAUCAUUUAAAGAAAGCGUAAUAGCUCACUAGUCGAGUCGGCCUGCGCGGAAGAUGUAACGGGGCUAAGCAAUACACCGAAGCUGCGGCAAUAUCUUUUAGAUAUUGGGUAGGGGAGCGUUCUGUAAGCCGUUGAAGGUGAAUCGUAAGGUUUGCUGGAGGUAUCAGAAGUGCGAAUGCUGACAUGAGUAACGACAAAGGGGGUGAAAAACCUCCUCGCCGGAAGACCAAGGGUUCCUGUCCAACGUUAAUCGGGGCAGGGUGAGUCGACCCCUAAGGUGAGGCCGAAAGGCGUAAUCGAUGGGAAACGGGUUAAUAUUCCCGUACUUCUGACUAUUGCGAUGGGGGGACGGAGAAGGCUAGGUGGGCCAGGCGACGGUUGUCCUGGUUCAAGUGCGUAGGCUUGAGAGUUAGGUAAAUCCGGCUCUCUCUAAGGCUGAGACACGACGUCGAGCUGCUACGGCAGUGAAGUCAUUGAUGCCAUGCUUCCAGGAAAAGCCUCUAAGCUUCAGAUAGUCAGGAAUCGUACCCCAAACCGACACAGGUGGUCGGGUAGAGAAUACCAAGGCGCUUGAGAGAACUCGGGUGAAGGAACUAGGCAAAAUGGUACCGUAACUUCGGGAGAAGGUACGCUCUUGAUGGUGAAGUCCCUCGCGGAUGGAGCUGACGAGAGUCGCAGAUACCAGGUGGCUGCAACUGUUUAUUAAAAACACAGCACUGUGCAAAAUCGCAAGAUGACGUAUACGGUGUGACGCCUGCCCGGUGCCGGAAGGUUAAUUGAUGGGGUUAGCGCAAGCGAAGCUCUUGAUCGAAGCCCCGGUAAACGGCGGCCGUAACUAUAACGGUCCUAAGGUAGCGAAAUUCCUUGUCGGGUAAGUUCCGACCUGCACGAAUGGCGUAAUGAUGGCCACGCUGUCUCCACCCGAGACUCAGUGAAAUUGAAAUCGCUGUGAAGAUGCAGUGUACCCGCGGCUAGACGGAAAGACCCCGUGAACCUUUACUACAGCUUGGCACUGAACAUUGAACCUACAUGUGUAGGAUAGGUGGGAGGCUAUGAAGACGUGACGCUAGUUGCGUUGGAGCCGUCCUUGAAAUACCACCCUUGUAUGUUUGAUGUUCUAACUUAGACCCGUUAUCCGGGUUGAGGACAGUGCCUGGUGGGUAGUUUGACUGGGGCGGUCUCCUCCCAAAGAGUAACGGAGGAGCACGAAGGUGGGCUAAUCACGGUUGGACAUCGUGAGGUUAGUGCAAUGGCAUAAGCCCGCUUAACUGCGAGAAUGACGGUUCGAGCAGGUGCGAAAGCAGGUCAUAGUGAUCCGGUGGUUCUGUAUGGAAGGGCCAUCGCUCAACGGAUAAAAGGUACUCCGGGGAUAACAGGCUGAUACCGCCCAAGAGUUCAUAUCGACGGCGGUGUUUGGCACCUCGAUGUCGGCUCAUCACAUCCUGGGGCUGAAGUCGGUCCCAAGGGUAUGGCUGUUCGCCAUUUAAAGUGGUACGCGAGCUGGGUUUAGAACGUCGUGAGACAGUUCGGUCCCUAUCUGCCGUGGGCGUUGGAAGAUUGAAGGGGGCUGCUCCUAGUACGAGAGGACCGGAGUGGACGAACCUCUGGUGUUCGGGUUGUGUCGCCAGACGCAUUGCCCGGUAGCUAAGUUCGGAAUUGAUAAGCGCUGAAAGCAUCUAAGCGCGAAGCGAGCCCUGAGAUGAGUCUUCCCUGAUACUUUAAGUAUCCUAAAGGGUUGUUCGAGACUAGAACGUUGAUAGGCAGGGUGUGUAAGCGUUGUGAGGCGUUGAGCUAACCUGUACUAAUUGCCCGUGAGGCUUAACCAUACAACACCCAAGGGGUUUUGUA